rnacentral:tmRNA from 4 species
GGGGCUGAUUCUGGAUUCGACGGGAUUUGCGAAACCCAAGGUGCAUGCCGAGGGGCGGUUGGCCUCGUAAAAAGCCGCAAAAAAAUAGUCGCAAACGACGAAAACUACGCUUUAGCAGCUUAAUAACCUGCUUAGAGCCCUCUCUCCCUAGCCUCCGCUCUUAGGACGGGGAUCAAGAGAGGUCAAACCCAAAAGAGAUCGCGCGGAUGCCCUGCCUGGGGUUGAAGCGUUAAAACGAAUCAGGCUAGUCUGGUAGUGGCGUGUCCGUCCGCAGGUGCCAGGCGAAUGUAAAGACAGACUAAGCAUGUAGUACCGAG